ACACACGUACUACAAUGCUACGGACAAAGGGCAGCAAACUCGCGAGGGCAAGCAAAUCCCAUAAACCGUGGCUCAGUUCAGAUCGUAGGCUGCAACUCGCCUACGUGAAGUAGGAAUCGCUAGUAAUCGCAGGUCAGCAUACUGCGGUGAAUACGUUCCCGGGCCUUGUACACACCGCCCGUCACACCAUGGAAGUUGGCCAUGCCCGAAGUCGUUACUCCAACCCUUGUGGAGGAGGACGCCGAAGGUGGGGCUAAUGACUGGGGUGAAGUCGUAACAAGGUAGCCGUACCGGAAGGUGCGGCUGGAUCACCUCCUAACAGGGAGACAACAAAAUGUUUAAUAUUAAUUUUGUCACCUUAGGUCGAUCGGUAUCUCACGUUCUUAAUUAUUUUAAGAAUUUCAUUCCUAAGUUUUUUCUAGGUCACACCCAUUUCUUUUCCUGGGCCAUUAGCUCAGGUGGUUAGAGCGCACCCCUGAUAAGGGUGAGGUCCCUGGUUCAAGUCCAGGAUGGCCCAUAUCUCUAUGUUGGGGGUAUAGCUCAGUUGGUAGAGCGCCUGCUUUGCAAGCAGGAUGUCAGCGGUUCGAGUCCGCUUACCUCCACUGAUUACCACCUCUUCCAUAUUUUUAAGAAGGGAAACGUUAUGAGUCUGAUCAAAUUCUGAACGAAUCUAGCUUCUUAAUAAAUCAUUAAGAUGCUGGACUCAUUGAAUUUAUUCAUUGUUUUCAGAGAACCUUGACAACUGCAUAGAUUAUUUUUAAGACAAUAAGCAUCUUUAUGAUGCAGAUUUAUUAUUUUUGUGAAUGCAUUAAUAACAAUUCUAUUAAGCUGAUGCUUCAAUUUUUGAAGUUAUUGGUCAAGCUACAAAGGGCUCACGGAGGAUACCUAGGCACACAGAGGCGAUGAAGGACGUGGUUACCUGCGAUAAGUCUCGGGGAGUGGA
rnacentral:sRNA from 1 species